rnacentral:pre_miRNA from 1 species
CUUCUACUCCCUCCGUCCAACAAAAAAUGUAUCAAGUUUGUCAAAAUUUGGAUGUAUCUAGAUAUGACUUAGUGUAUAGAUGCAUUCAAAUUUAGUAAAAUUUGAGACAUCCUUUGUUGGAUGAAGGGAGUAUGAU